rnacentral:tRNA from 1 species
AAAAAAUUAGUUAAAAAAUAACGUUAGUUUGUCAUACUAGAAUUAUUAAAUUUUUAAUAUUUUUUA